rnacentral:rRNA from 1 species
CCUACGGGGGGCUGCAGUGGGGAAUAUUGGACAAUGGGGGGAACCCUGAUCCAGCCAUGCCGCGUGUGUGAAGAAGGCCCUCGGGUUGUAAAGCACUUUCAGUGAGGAAGAACGCCUGGUGGUUAAUACCCAUCAGGAAAGACAUCAUUCACAGAAGAAGCACCGGCUAACUCCGUGCCAGCAGCCGCGGUAAUACGGAGGGUGCGAGCGUUAAUCGGAAUUACUGGGCGUAAAGCGCGCGUAGGUGGCUUGAUAAGCCGGUUGUGAAAGCCCCGGGCUCAACCUGGGAACGGCAUCCGGAACUGUCAAGCUAGAGUGCAGGAGAGGAAGGUAGAAUUCCCGGUGUAGCGGUGAAAUGCGUAGAGAUCGGGAGGAAUACCAGUGGCGAAGGCGGCCUUCUGGACUGACACUGACACUGAGGUGCGAAAGCGUGGGUAGCAAACAGGAUUAGAUACCCCAGUAGUC